UACGUAGGGGGCGAGCGUUGUCCGGAUUCAUUGGGCGUAAAGAGCGUGUAGGCGGUCCGGUAAGUCAGCUGUGAAAGUCAAGGGCUCAACCCUUGAAAGCCGGUUGAUACUGUCGGGCUAGAGUCCGGAAGAGGCGAGUGGAAUUCCCGGUGUAGCGGUGAAAUGCGCAGAUAGUCGGGAGGAACACCAAUGGCGAAGGCGGGUCUCUGGGCCGUAACUGACGCUGAGGAGCGAAAGCAUGGGGAGCGAACAGG
rnacentral:rRNA from 1 species